UACGUAGGGGGCAAGCGUUGUCCGGAUUUAUUGGGCGUAAAGAGCGUGUAGGCGGUUAGAUAGGUCCGUUGUGAAAACUCGAGGCUCAACCUCGAGACGCCGAUGGAAACCAUCUAACUAGAGUCCGGAAGAGGAGAGUGGAAUUCCUGGUGUAGCGGUGAAAUGCGCAGAUAUCAGGAAGAACACCCGUGGCGAAGGCGGCUCUCUGGUACGUGACUGACGCUGAGACGCGAAAGCGUGGGGAGCGAACAGG
rnacentral:rRNA from 1 species